GUGCUUGCUUUGACAGCACAUAUCCUAAAAUUGGAAUGAUACAGAGAAGAUUAGCAUGGCCCCUGGACAGGGAUGACACACAAAUUCAUGAAGCAUUCCAUAUUUUU
ensembl:snRNA U6 U6 spliceosomal RNA